rnacentral:rRNA from 1 species
GGCCUUAUCAUCAACUAUUACUUAACUUACACAUGCAAGUCUCCGCACACCCGUGAGAACGCCCUUUACCCCUUCACCAGGAUAAGGAGCUGGUAUCAGGCACAGACACCUCUUGCCCAUAACACCUAGCCACGCCACGCCCUCAAGGGUAUUCAGCAGUGAUAAACAUUGUUCAUAAGCGCCAGCUUGACUCAGUCAAAGUAAAUAGAGCCGGCCAAUCCGGUGCCAGCCGCCGCGGCUACACCGUUGGGCUCAAGUUGACAAAUAUCGGCGUUAAGCGUGAUUAAAGUGAAACACAAGAUUAGAAUUGAAUUUUAACCAAGUCGUGACACACUUGUUAUAAGGAAACACAAAAACGAAAGUUAUUCUAACACAACCACUUGAACCCACGACAGCUAGGACACAAACUGGGAUUAGGUACCCCACUAUGCCUAGCCGUAAAAUAUUAACUUACACUUAAAACCGCCAGGGAAUUACGAGCCCAAGCUUAAAACCCAAAGGACUUGACGGUGUCCCACCCACCUAGAGGAGCCUGUUCUAUAAUCGAUUCUCCCCGAUAAACCUCACCACUUCUAGCCUACUCAGCCUGUAUACCUCCGUCGUAAGCUUACCAUAUGAACGCUAACUAGUGAGCUUAAAGAUCUAUUCAUCAACACGUCAGGUCAAGGUGCAGCUUACGAAGCGGGAAGCAAUGGGCUACAAUUUCUAACAUAGAACACACGAAAGACUACAUGAAACACAGUCAUGAAGGCGGAUUUAGCAGUAAAAAGAAAAUAGAGAGUUCUUUUUAAUUAGGCGCUGGGACGCGUACACACCGCCCGUCACCCUCUUCAAACGC